rnacentral:rRNA from 1 species
UGCCAGCCGCCGCGGUAAUACGGGGGGGGCCAGCGUUGUUCGGAAUUAUUGGGCGUAAAGGGCGCGCAGGCGGUGCGGCAAGUCAGUUGUGAAAGCCCUCGGCUCAACCGAGGAAUUGCGACUGAAACUGCCGGACUUGAGUCCCGGAGAGGGUAGCGGAAUUCCAGGUGUAGGAGUGAAAUCCGUAGAUAUCUGGAGGAACACCAGUGGCGAAGGCGGCCAACUGGACGAGUACUGACACUGAGGUACGAAAGCGUGGGUAGCAAACAGGAUUAGAUA